rnacentral:rRNA from 1 species
AACGAACGCUGGCGGCAUGCCUAACACAUGCAAGUCGAACGAGACCUUCGGGUCUAGUGGCGCACGGGUGCGUAACGCGUGGGAACCUGCCCUUAGGUUCGGAAUAACUCCCCGAAAGGGGUGCUAAUACCGGAUAAUGUCUUCGGACCAAAGAUUUAUCGCCUUUGGAUGGGCCCGCGUUGGAUUAGCUAGUUGGUAGGGUAAAAGCCUACCAAGGCGACGAUCCAUAGCUGGUCUGAGAGGAUGAUCAGCCACACUGGGACUGAGACACGGCCCGGAAUCCUACGGGAGGCAGCAGUGGGGAAUAUUGGAAAAUGGGCGAAAGCCUGAUCCAGCAAGGCCGCGUGAGUGAUGAAGGCCUUAGGGUUGUAAAGCUCUUUUACCCGGGAUGAUAAUGACAGUACCGGGAGAAUAAGCACCGGCUAACUCCGUG